GACGAACGCUGGCGGCGUGCUUAACACAUGCAAGUCGAACGGAAAGGCCCUGCUUUUGUGGGGUGCUCGAGUGGCGAACGGGUGAGUAACACGUGAGUAACCUGCCCUUGACUUUGGGAUAACUUCAGGAAACUGGGGCUAAUACCGGAUAGGAGCUCCUGCUGCAUGGUGGGGGUUGGAAAGUUUCGGCGGUUGGGGAUGGACUCGCGGCUUAUCAGCUUGUUGGUGGGGUAGUGGCUUACCAAGGCUUUGACGGGUAGCCGGCCUGAGAGGGUGACCGGCCACAUUGGGACGGAGAUACGGCGCAGACUCCUACGGGAGGCAGCAGUGGGGAAUAUUGCACAAUGGGCGGAAGCCUGAUGCAGCAACGCCGCGUGCGGGAUGACGGCCUUCGGGUUGUAAACCGCUUUCGCCUGUGACGAAGCGUGAGUGACGGUAAUGGUAAAGAAGCACCGGCUAACUACGUG
rnacentral:rRNA from 1 species